rnacentral:rRNA from 1 species
AUUGAACGCUGGCGGCAUGCUUUACACAUGCAAGUCGAACGGCAGCGCGGGCUUCGGCCUGGCGGCGAGUGGCGAACGGGUGAGUAAUACAUCGGAACGUGCCCAGUAGUGGGGGAUAGCUCGGCGAAAGCCGGAUUAAUACCGCAUACGACCUGAGGGUGAAAGCGGGGGAUCUUCGGACCUCGCGCUAUUGGAGCGGCCGAUGGCAGAUUAGCUAGUUGGUGGGGUAAAGGCCUACCAAGGCGACGAUCUGUAGCUGGUCUGAGAGGACGACCAGCCACACUGGGACUGAGACACGGCCCAGACUCCUACGGGAGGCAGCAGUGGGGAAUUUUGGACAAAGGGCGAAAGCCUGAUCCAGCAAUGCCGCGUGUGUGAUGAAGGCCUUCGGGUUGUAAAGCACUUUUGGUGGGAACGAAAAGGACUGUGCCAAUACCACGGUUCGAUGACGGUACCCGCAGAAUAAGCACCGGCUAACUACGUG